rnacentral:rRNA from 1 species
GACAGAGGGUGCAAACGUUGCUCGGAAUUACUGGGCGUAAAGCGUGUGUAGGCUGACCUUCAAGUCGGACGUGAAAUCCCUGAGCUCAACUCAGGAACUGCAUCCGAAACUGCAGGCCUAGAGUAGUGGAGAGGGAAGCAGAAUUCCUGGUGUAGAGGUGAAAUUCGUAGAUAUCAGGAGGAACACCGGUGGCGAAGGCGGCUUCCUGGCCAUUCACUGACGCUGAGACGCGAAAGCGUGGGGAGCAAACAGG